rnacentral:rRNA from 1 species
UUUGAUUUAAGGUCUGACCUGCCCAAUGAGUUUUUGAAUGGCCGCGGUAUUUUGACCGUGCAAAGGUAGCAUAAUCAUUAGUUUUUUAAUUGAAAGCUGGAAUGAAGGGUUGGAUGAGAAAAUAACUGUCUCUAUUUAAAUUUUUUAGAAUUUUAUUUUUAAGUAAAAAAGCUUAAAUUUUGUUAGAAGACGAGAAGACCCUAUAGAGUUUUAUUAAUUUUUUUUUAUUGGAUUUUUAGUAUUUAAUUUUUCUUAAGAAAAAUUAAUUUGAUUGGGGUGAUAGAAAAAUUUGAUAAACUUUUUUUUUAUUUAUACAUUUAUUUAUGAGUAUUUGAUCCUUUUUAUAAAGAUUAGAAGAUAAAAUUACCUUAGGGAUAACAGCGUAAUUUUCUUAGAGAGUUCAAAUCGAAAAGAAAGAUUGCGACCUCGAUGUUGGAUUAAAAUAAAAUUUUGGUGUAGAAGCUAAAGUAUUUAGGUCUGUUCGACCUUUAAAAUUUUACAUGAUCUGAGUUUAAACCGGUGUGAGCCAGGUUGGUUUCUAUCUCUAUUGAAAAUAAAUAUCUUAGUACGAAAGGACCAGAUAUUUAAUUUAAAAUUUUAUUAUAGAAUAAUAUUGUUAUUUUGGCAGAUUAGUGCAAUAGAUUUAGAAUCUUUUUAUGUAAAUUAUUUUACAAAUAAUACUUGAUACUAAAGGAUAUAAUUUUGAUGGUUUUUUCUAGUUUAAUUUUAUUGGUUUGUGUUUUGGUAGGAUUAGCCUUUUUAACUUUAAUAGAGCGAAAAGUUUU